rnacentral:rRNA from 1 species
AGCUAAUAGAUACCCAGGUAGUCCCAGCAGUAAACGGUGCGCGUUUGGUGUGAGCAGAUUCGACUCUGUUCGCGCCGGAGCUAACGCGUUAAACGCGCCGCCUGGGAAGUACGAUCGCAAGAUUAAAACUCAAAGAAAUUGACGGGGGCCCGCACAAGCGGUGGAGUAUGUGGCUUAAUUCGAUGCAACGCGAAGAACCUUACCUGGGUUUGACAUGCAUCUCUAAGGAGGUGAAAGCUUCCGAGGGUAGCAAUACCCGAUUUGCACAGGUGCUGCAUGGCUGUCGUCAGCUCGUGUCGUGAGAUGUUGGGUUAAGUCCCGCAACGAGCGCAACCCUUGUAUGCUGUUGCUAUGCUUACGCAUAGCUCUCUGCGUAGACUGCCCCGUGAAACGGGGAGGAAGGUGGGGAUGACGUCAAGUCAGCAUGGCCCUUACACCCAGGGCUGCACACGUACUACAAUGCUCAGUACAAUUAGAACCUGCCCCGCGAGGGUUGGGAAAUCAGCG